UUCACGCGACAACAGCGAAGAACGCUACAAACCCAGAAAACGCGCACAACAGUAUGCUCGUCCAACUACCCUGCAAAACCCAUAACCUAGUGGUCUAGAUGGUCACUUCGUCACCCUGCUUUCCCCCUUUUCAGGGAUUUUCGAAUCCUUUCCACUGUUAUCUUGAAAAGAGGCAGAGAAGUCCGAAUUUAAAAUUGAAAAAUUCACCCGAUUUCCCCCGAUUUUCCAGUUAUAUAAUCAUCUCUUUUGAUCACUGUUUGGGGGGGCAAAAAAAAAAGAAUUCUUUGAACGAUAAAUUUUACACUUGGGAAAUUUCAGACGUCUAAAGUUUCGAGAAGGUCUUUUGUUCGAAGUUGGUUUGAAUUUCUUGGUUUACUGCCCCAGAUUAAAGUCGUGUGAGAAGUCGCUCUCUUCUAAGCUCGUUCGUCCCAGCUCGCUGCUCCAAAAAAGGGCUGUACAGGGCUGGAAAUUGAAAACAAGUUUCAGAAAGCUGAAAAAAGGCUGAGAAACGAGCUGUCUACAGCAGUAUACACUCAUUAUACAGCGAAUUACAGGUCAAAAAUGCGAAAACACAGGGAGAAGGCGAAACACAGGUGUUCGGAAGUGAGAAAUACAUGAAAAGAGCUAAUAUAUAUGCUCAUAUACACUGAUAUACAUCCAGUGUAUACGCAAAACGGGAAUGAGAUUGAAGCUUAAAAAUAUAGCGAAAUUGGCCCAAGAAGGGGCCCAAUUUCAUUAUCUCGUUUA